rnacentral:rRNA from 1 species
GAUGAACGCUGGCGGCGUGCCUAAUACAUGCAAGUCGAGCGAACAGACGAGGAGCUUGCUCCUCUGACGUUAGCGGCGGACGGGAGAGUAACACGUGGAUAACCUACCUAUAAGACUGGGAUAACUUCGGGAAACCGGAGCUAAUACCGGAUAAUAUAUUGCACCGCAUGGUUCAAUAGUGAAAGACGGUUUUGCUGUCACUUAUAGAUGGAUCCGCGCCGCAUUAGCUAGUUGGUAAGGUAACGGCUUACCAAGGCAACGAUGCGUAGCCGACCUGAGAGGGUGAUCGGCCACACUGGAAGUGAGACACGGUCGAGACUCCUACGGGAGGCAGCAGUAGGGAAUCUUACGCAAUGGGGGAAAGCCUGACGGAGCAACGCCGCGUGAGUGAUGAAGGUCUUCGGAUCGUAAAACUCUGUUAUUAGGGAGGAACAAAUGUGUAAGUAACUAUGCACGUAUUGACGGUACCUAAUCAGAAAGCCACGGCUAACUACGUG